GUUGAAAACACGAGGGGAACAACACAAAAUUGUUCACAAUAUUGUCUUUUCUUCUGCUCUCCCAAUAAACGUGUGCAGAAGGAUCCUAUUGCAGCAUCGUUCUUGCUGUCGAGUCAGGGUGCGCGCGCAAGAAGUGGUGCUGAAACCCGGGAAAAGAAACAUCUUCAGGCACAAGCGAAGACCCCCCUGCUACAGGGAGGAUUCAGAACUCUUCAGCUGGGGAACGGUGGUAAUAAAGUGUUCCCGUAAAACAGACUGCUGAGAAGGAUCUGGUGUGGAUUCAGAACUCUUCAGCUGGGGAACGGUGGUACUGGAUCACCGACAACAGCUGUGGGUCCCAGAACAGCUGACCAGAGCAAUUCAAAACAAGCAGAGCUAUGAGGACGUGGAUGUUCCUGUGGCUGGGGGUGCUCCCGCUAGUGAGAACUGAAGAGCUCUGUGUUCCUGAAACCAUGCUGUUGAUGCAUUCGGCUGUUUCCUCAAUUCUUUACAUCUAAUGCCAGAUUUUAAGCCUUAAUGGAACGCGAAUAGAACCCAUCAUUGUUGGCAAUUUUA
ensembl:antisense Far2os1 fatty acyl CoA reductase 2, opposite strand 1